rnacentral:tRNA from 1 species
GGAGAGUUGGCAGAGUGGUCGAAUGCGGCGGUCUUGAAAACCGUUGUGCCGCGAGGUACCCGGGGUUCGAAUCCCUGACUCUCCG